UACGUAGGGGGCUAGCGUUGUCCGGAUUUAUUGGGCGUAAAGAGCGUGUAGGCGGCCCUUUAAGUCCGGGGUGAAAACUCGAGGCUUAACCUCGAGAUGUCAUCGGAAACCAUUUGGCUAGAGUACGGAAGAGGAGAGUGGAAUUCCUGGUGUAGCGGUGAAAUGCGCAGAUAUCAGGAAGAACACCAAUGGCGAAAGCAGCUCUCUGGGACGGUACUGACGCUGAGACGCGAAAGCGUGGGGAGCGAACAGG
rnacentral:rRNA from 1 species